rnacentral:rRNA from 1 species
AAUUUUGGACAAUGGGCGAAAGCCUGAUCCAGCAAUGCCGCGUGCAGGAUGAAGGCCUUCGGGUUGUAAACUGCUUUUGUACGGAACGAAAAGCUUUGGGGUAAUACCCUGGAGUCAUGACGGUACCGUCAGACUAACACACGGCUCACUACGUGCCAGCCGCCGCGGUAAUACGUAGGGUGCAAUCGUUCAUCGGAAUUACUGGGCGUAAAGCGUGCGCAGGCGGUUUUGUAAGACAGAGGUGAAAUCCCCGGGCUCAACCUGGGAACUGCCUUUGUGACUGCAAGGCUAGAGUACGGCAGAGGGGGGUGGAAUUCCUCGUGUAGCAGUGAAAUGCGUAGAUAUGCUGAGGAACACCGAUGGCGAAGGCAACCCCCUGGGCCUGUACUGACGCUCAUGCACGAAAGCGUGGGGAGCAAA